UACAGAGGUCCCGAGCGUUGUUCGGAUUCAUUGGGCGUAAAGGGUGCGUAGGCGGUUUGACAAGUCUGAUGUGAAAUCUAUGGGCUCAACCCAUAGCCUGCAUCGGAAACUGUCGGGCUUGAGUAUGGGAGAGGUGAGUGGAAUUUCCGGUGUAGCGGUGAAAUGCGUAGAUAUCGGAAGGAACACCUGUGGCGAAAGCGGCUCGACUGGACC
rnacentral:rRNA from 1 species